UACGAAGGGAGCUAGCGUUGUUCGGAAUCACUGGGCGUAAAGCGCACGUAGGCGGAUGUGUCAGUCAGGGGGUGAAAUCCUGGAGCUCAACUCCAGAACUGCCUUUGAUACUGGUGAGCUUGAGUCCGGAAGAGGUGAGUGGAACUGCGAGUGUAGAGGUGAAAUUCGUAGAUAUGGGGAGGAACACCGGUGGCGAAGGCGACCAUCUGGACGGAUACUGACGCUGAGACGCGAAAGCGUGGGUAGCAAACAGG
rnacentral:rRNA from 1 species